CUCCGCUCUCUGUACUUUAUAUCUGCUGGAUUUUUUUGUGUUCUGUGGGUUCCUGCCGGUGCUAGACUAGUUGGUGGUGUUCUCUGGUUUAUUACUUACCUAUGUCGACUGUGCUGGUUGGCUAGCUAGGCUAGUUAUCUGGCUAGGCUAGAUAGACUAACUAACUCCAGCUGGCUUAAGUUAACUGCAUUUACCAGUAACAUUAUUUAAUAACUGGUUAGAGGGUGUUAUGUAUUUCCAAAACUUUGGUUUACUUUAAUAUAGCUGUAAGCUAGGUGUUGAUAGCAACUGGCUGACUCAUGCAAUGCUAACGUAACAUUAGCAGGCUGGUAGGGAUAAUGUUAGCAGGCUAGUUGGCUUGCAACCUCGUAAGCUGAUUUGUAACAAAUUCAUAAAGUAUUUGCUUGUAAAUGGGCAGAUUUUUUUAUUUUAUUGAAACCAGUAGUUGUGAGUUGGAGUAACAUUAUAGGGAAUAGGCUGGCUUGCUGGGUCCUCCAUAUUACAUCACACCCCGUAAAAGCAUUUCCCGGCAUGACUUGGCAUUUGACUGAAUUCUAAUCUAUUUUAUGUAAUAACUCGUAAAAUGGGAAAGAGAGGUGUAACUUUGCAUUGGGACUUUUCAUGCGUAUACUAAUGCAAAUCUGUCACACCCUGAUCUGUUUCACCUGUCUUGUGCUUGUCUCCACCCCCCUCCGGGUGUCGAUCAUUUUCCCCAUUAUCCCCUGUGCAUUUAUACCUGUGGUCUCUGUCUGUUGCCAGUUUGCCUGUACUCAUGUUUCUCUCUAGCCCUUGUUUUUCUGGUUUUAACCACCUUGCCUGCCCUGACCCUGUCCUGGAUUACUGACCUCUGCCUGCCUGCCCCCUGUUUUGUUAAUAAACAUAUGUUAUUCAAACUGUCUGCAUCUGGGUCUUAUUCUGAGGUCUGAUACAAAUCCAUGACAAAGUUACUUUUUCAAAUACUCCUACAGAGUUACAUGCAGGUAAGACGUUCUCUUUCUGAUACUACAUAUAAAUCAGCAGGUUCUAAAUAACUCUAUAAAAUUUGAGAGAUGAGCUCAAUUUCAAAAAUAUCACUUUUACCAAGAUGAACUGCUUUUCCUUUGUCCUCCACACAUGUUCAUGUAGCUGCAGAUCACCUACAGUAACAAACUAAUGAUAAUGCUAUUCUGUAUUCUAAUGUUACCCAAGACCUUCAGAAACACAAACAAAGGAUGUUUUUUUUUUCCGAGAGCAUUUCUGAAAUGUAUUCUUUAGACUGUUAGAAUGUUGCAGUAAAAACAGCAUGAAUCCAGCUCAUUGGCGUAGUAAGGGGGGAAUCGAGGCCUGGCAGUUUAAGUGUUAAAAACUGAACCCAAAUCAACUUACCUUGGCUCCUGCUGCUCCAGUGUUUCCUCGGGGGCCAAAGUCCCCUGCAUCCCCCUGAGAGCCCUAACGAGGACAUGCAGAAAACAUGGACACGGAUGGUGACAGGGCAGAAUAUUAUUUUCUCAUUUCAUUACAUCACCUGUCAUAGAUAUCACCUGUUUAACGGUUAGUGGAACACCUCUGCUCUUACCAGGUAUUAUUAUAAUUAUUUAGGGCAGUAUUCACCUGAAGUCCCGCCUCUCCACCCUCACCUGGUGGACCACGGACCCCUGGGAAACCUGGUGCCCCCUGGAACUCCUCUCACCCCCUCUGGGCCUAGUUCUCCCUGCAAGAUGCAACACAAUGAAUACAACCAACAUCGAAUCGACUAUUGCGAUGCAGUAAAAACAGAUGAGAUGUUUGAUGUUUGUAGUUUGUUGGUGGAAACCUUAUCUCCUCUCUUGCCAGCCUUGCCCCGUCGUCCAGCUCUGCCACUGUCUCCUCUGCUUCCCUGAAAGAGACAUGUUCUCAUGUUUCACCAGGACCCAAAUAAAACGCGUCAGUGUAAA